CGCGCCUUGCCAGCCCGACUCAGAAACUUAAAGGAAGUUCGAGGGGGCCCGCACAAGCGGUGGAGUAUGUGGUUUAAUUCGAUGCAACGCGAAGAACCUUACCUGGUCUUGACAUCCCGGAGACCCUUAGGAAACUAGGGGGUGCUUCCAUCUGGAAGAAUCUGGAGACAGGUGCUGCAUGGCUGUCGUCAGCUCGUGUCGUGAGAUGUUGGGUUAAGUCCCGCAACGAGCGCAACCCUUGCCUUUAGUUGCCAGCAGUUCGGCUGGGCACUCUAAAGGGACUGCCGGUGUUAAACCGGAGGAAGGUGGGGAUGACGUCAAGUCCUCAUGGCCUUUAUGACCAGGGCGACACACGUGCUACAAUGGCCGGCACAACGGGAAGCGAGUUCGCGAGGACGAGCGGAUCCCUCAAAGCCGGUCGCAGUUCGGAUUGAAGUCUGCAACUCGACUUCAUGAAGCUGGAAUCGCUAGUAAUCGUGGAUCAGCCAAGCCGCGGUGAAUACGUUCCCGGGCCUU
rnacentral:rRNA from 1 species